rnacentral:lncRNA from 1 species
UGAAAAAGAUCAAUUAUUUUCACUUGAAUUCACUAUUUUCUUGGUAUUCUCUAAAAUAAAUAGUACUAUAUUUGGCAAUGGAUACUCACAUGUACUUGGCAAUUGUGUGAAGACUAUUAUUAUCUCUAACAUAAAAUAUUCCAAAUCACAAGAGGUUUGAUGAUUUAAAACCUACAAAUAAUCAUGUUGAUAAUUUUCUUUUUUUUAAAAUAUAGGUUGUAAAUAUAUGAUCAUAUAAUGCAUGUUUCCUUGUUUGUCAUGUGAAACAAGAUACAUAUUGCUUAUGCUGUGGAAAAAUUCAUGAAGGAAAUAAAGUGAAGAAUGAUAUGUUUCGUUUAAAAAUUUAUUUUCCCAUUUACAUGUAAUAACAAUUUUAAACAUAUAUUUUCUGAACUUAGAAGAGCCAAAUUUCUUCCUUCCCCUUUUCCACCUCCUUCCUGGAGAUGGUAAGCAAUUUGAUCUGGGUUAUAUAUUAUAAUAGCAAGGGGAACUUAAAGAUGAAGGAACCAGAGAGCAGCUGUUUUUUUUUUAGGACUGAGUUCUGUGUGACACUUCCUCUUCCUCCACUAAGCUGAGAAGCUUUAAUGGAGUCAGUCAGUUCAGACCAAGGGUUGUCAGCAUGGUGCAGCACUUUGAUCUUCCUUAAGGACACACAGAAAACAGUUUAACAGAGAUGCACAGGGAAACCUGCCUGUACUCUAAUGUAUUCCUGAAGGUGAAUGUGUUGAUAAGUCGUGGAAAUGGAGGCAAACUUCAUCCAAGUUCAACCAUUGAGGGCUGCCUCAAGCUGAAGAUGAAACGUGGGCCUCUGGGAGUGAUUUGA